GAAAUGUGAUAAGUAAUGUGAAUUGCAGAAUUCAGUGAAUCAUCGAAUCUUUGAACGCACCUUGCGCUCCUUGGUAUUCCUUGGAGCAUGCCUGUUUGAGUAUCAUGAAAUCUUCAAAGUAAAUCUUUUGUUAACUCAAUUGGUUUCUACUUUGGUAUUGGAGGUCUUUGCAGCUUCACACCUGCUCCUCUUUGUUCAUUAGCUGGAUCUCAGUGUUAUGCUUGGUUCCACUCGGCGUGAUAAGUUAUCUAUCGCUGAGGACACUGUAAAAGGUGGCCAAGGUAAAUGCAGAUGAACCGCUUCUAAUAGUCCAUUGACUUGGACAAUACUUUUAUGAUCUGAUCUCGAAUCAGGUAGGACUACCCGCUGAACUUAAGC
rnacentral:misc_RNA from 1 species